rnacentral:rRNA from 1 species
AAUUGCGAAUGGGCGCAAGCCUGACGCAGCGACGCCGCGUGGGGGAGGAAGGCCUUCGGGUCGUAAACCCCUUUCAGCAGGGACGAAAUUGACGGUACCUGCAGAAGAAGCGCCGGCCAACUACGUGCCAGCAGCCGCGGUAAUACGUAGGGCGCAAGCGUUGUCCGGAUUCAUUGGGCGUAAAGGGCUCGUAGGCGGUUUGGUAAGUCGGGUGUGAAAACUCAGGGCUCAACUCUGAGACGCCACUCGAUACUGCCAUGACUAGAGUCCGGUAGAGGAGUGUAGAAUUCCUGGUGUAGCGGUGAAAUGCGCAGAUAUCAGGAGGAAUACCGAUAGCGAAGGCAGCACUCUGGGCCGGUACUGACGCUGAGGAGCGAAAGCGUGGGGAGCAAACAGGAUUAGAUACCCUGGUAGUCCACGCCGUAAACGUUGGGCACUAGGUGUGGGUCCCAUCCAACGGGAUCCGUGCCGUAGCUAACGCAUUAAGUGCCCCGCCUGGGGAGUACGGCCGCAAGGCUAAAACUCANNGGAAUUGAC